rnacentral:lncRNA from 1 species
GCCUGUAGUCCCAGCUACUCUGGAGGCUGAGGCAGGAGAAUGGUGUGAACCCGGGAGGCGGAACUUGCAGUGAGCCGAGUGAGCCACUGCACUCUAGCCUAGGUGACAGAGGGAGACUCAUCUCAAAACAAAACAAAACAAAACAGUUUAUUGUAACUGUUGGUUUUGUAACUGUUCUCAUUGUCGGAUUAUCUUGACCAAUGAGAAUGGGUAGAGAAGAAAGAGGUGGCUAAGGACAUGACCAUAGGGAACACCAGCAUUUAGAGAGGUCAGAGAAGGCUAAGAAAGGUCAUAUUAGGCUGGGUGUGGUGGCUCACACCUGUAAUCCCAACACUUUGGAGGCUGAGGUGGGCAGAUCGCUUGAGGUCAGGAGUUCGAGACCAGCCUGGCCAACAUGGCGAAACCCUGUCUCUACUAAAAAUAUAAAAAUUAGCUGGGCGUGGUGGUGGGCGCCUGUAAUCCCAGCUACUCGGGAGGCUGAGAUGGAGAAGCGCUUGAACCCAGGAGGUGGAGGUUGCAGUGAGUGAGCCAAGAUUAUGCUACUGCACUCCAGCCUGGGGCGACAGAGUGAGUCUCUGUCUCAAAAAAAAAAAAAAAAGAAAAGAAAAGAAAAGAAAAGCCAUAUUAAUAGAAGUGAAACUAUCCAUUCAUUAAAAAUACAUAUUUAUUAAGCCCCUAGUCUUUGUUAAGAGAAAGAGGGACCUCAGGAGCCAAAAGAAGAAAGCAUUUCAAGGAGGGGGGAGUCAACAGGUCAAAUGGCACAGAGAGGGCAAAAGGAUAAAGACUGAAGAGUUGUUCAUUGAAUGUGACCAGGAGGUCGUUGGUGGCCUUAAUGAGAGCAAUCUCAGUGGACUGAUGGGGACAAAAACUAAAAUGAUUGAGAAUGAGAAUCAUGAAAAUGGAUAUAGCAAGUAUAGGUAACUCUAGAAGCUUAGUUAUGAAGGGAAGAGAAAUCGAGUGAUGACUGGGUGCAGACAAGGAUCAAGAGAAAGUUUGGAAUGUUUUCCUUUUAAUCAUGGGAAUUACUUGAGCAUGUGUAUAUGCUAAGGGGAAAAUAUCAGUAGAAAAGGACAGGUUAAGACUGGGAAUGGUGGCUGACGCCGGUAAUCCCAGCAGUUCGAGAGGCCGAGGCAGGAGAAUCACUUGAGCCUAGGAGUUCAAGACCAGCCUGGGCAACACAAUGAGACUCUGCCUCUAUUUUUUUUUUAAGUUAAUACUUUCUGUGUGCAGGCACUAUGCUACAAGGAAAGGAUACAGUGUUGAGCAAGAUAGACAACCAGGGACUGCAUACAACUUACAGUAAAGUCAUAGGUGAACCUUCGACAGGUGAUACGGAUGGCAUUCACUAGGAUGAGAGAGACAUGAUGCAGGCUCCUUGCUAACCAAGUAAAAGCUUUUGCUGAAGCUGUGUCCCUCGGGAACAUUUUCUUCUUUUGCACCAAGCCAACUCCCACCAAAGUUUUCCUGUCCUUCAUGAUAAAAUGUAUCCAGCAUCUUUCUGUGCAGUCUUCGGAGAAUAUUUAUUGUCUUCUUUGCACAUUUGGAAAUUUAUGUUCAAUGUAGCUUUUCUUUUGAGACUUGGUGUUGUCUUUUUAAUAGUUUAGUACUAUUAAAUAUUUAAUAUUUAGUACUGUCUUUUUAAUAGUUUAGACUUUUUAAUAGUUUAGUAUGUGCAAAUCUUAUUUUAAUUCAAAUAUAUUAUCAUUUUCUUAAAGUCUGGAA